rnacentral:rRNA from 1 species
UACGAAGGGGGCUAGCGUUGCUCGGAAUCACUGGGCGUAAAGGGUGCGUAGGCGGGUUUUUAAGUCAGGGGUGAAAUCCUGGAGCUCAACUCCAGAACUGCCUUUGAUACUGAAGAUCUUGAGUUCGGGAGAGGUGAGUGGAACUGCGAGUGUAGAGGUGAAAUUCGUAGAUAUUCGCAAGAACACCAGUGGCGAAGGCGGCUCACUGGCCCAAUACUGACGCUGAGGCACGAAAGCGUGGGGAGCAAACAGG